GAUGAACGCUGGCGGCGUGCCUAAUACAUGCAAGUCGAGCGAACAGACGAGGAGCUUGCUCCUCUGACGUUAGCGGCGGACGGGUGAGUAACACGUGGAUAACCUACCUAUAAGACUGGGAUAACUUCGGGAAACCGGAGCUAAUACCGGAUAAUAUAUUGAACCGCAUGGUUCAAUAGUGAAAGACGGUUUUGCUGUCACUUAUAGAUGGAUCCGCGCCGCAUUAGCUAGUUGGUAAGGUAACGGCUUACCAAGGCAACGAUGCGUAGCCGACCUGAGAGAGUGAUCGGCCACACUGGAACUGGGACACGGUCAAGACUCCUGCGGGAGGCAGCAGUAGGGAAUCUUCCGCAAUGGGCGAAAGCUUGACGGAGCAACGCCGCGUGAGUGAUAAAGGUCUUCGGAUCGUAAAACUCUGUUAUUAGGGAAGAACAAAUGUGUAAGUAACUAUGCACGUCUUGACGGUACCUAAUCAGAAAGCCACGGCUAACUACGUG
rnacentral:rRNA from 1 species